rnacentral:rRNA from 1 species
AUGAUUGCUCUUAUCGGUAUGGCUCCUACCGAGGAGGAGGGAGAAGAGAAGAAGAAGAUGGAAAGGAAGGCAGCCGGAGCUGCAUUCACGUGGAUUCAAAAUAACUUUGCGACGUGCCCUCCGGAUGCAACUGAUGAUGUGAUCCAGACACAUGCUCGUGUGUAUAUGUGGUACAUUGUGUCGAGGACUUUGUUUCCUGACUCCACUGGCAAGAACGCUCCAUGGAUGUGGCUGAAGGCGUUGACCGUCUUCGAUAGCAAAUGGAGCUGGGGUUCAGCGACUCUUGCCUACUUGUACCGACAGGUAGUUGGUCUGUUUUGUGAUCAACUCAUUUAUUCAUUAGCAAUGCAAGCUUGCUGUCAAGUUAACAUUGUUUUUCUUUCAUAUGUAGCUGGAUGA